AGAGUUUGAUCCGGCUCAGAUUGAACGCUGGCGGCAGGCCUAACACAUGCAAGUCGAGCGGAUGAGUGGAGCUUGCUCCAUGAUUCAGCGGCGGACGGGUGAGUAAUGCCUAGGAAUCUGCCUGGUAGUGGGGGACAACGUUUCGAAAGGAACGCUAAUACCGCAUACGUCCUACGGGAGAAAGUGGGGGAUCUUCGGACCUCACGCUAUCAGAUGAGCCUAGAUCGGAUUAGCUAGUUGGUGAGGUAAAGGCUCACCAAGGCGACGAUCCGUAACUGGUCUGAGAGGAUGAUCAGUCACACUGGAACUGAGACACGGUCCAGACUCCUACGGGAGGCAGCAGUGGGGAAUAUUGGACAAUGGGCGAAAGCCUGAUCCAGCCAUGCCGCGUGUGUGAAGAA
rnacentral:rRNA from 1 species